rnacentral:rRNA from 1 species
UACGGGGGGAGCAAGCGUUGUUCGGAUUUACUGGGCGUAAAGGGCGCGUAGGCGGCGUGACAAGUCACUUGUGAAAUCUCCGGGCUUAACUCGGAACGGUCAAGUGAUACUGUCGUGCUAGAGUACAGAAGGGGCAACUGGAAUUCUCGGUGUAGCGGUGAAAUGCGUAGAUAUCGAGAGGAACACCGGUGGCGAAGGCGGCCUGCUGGGCAGUUUAGCUGACACUGAGGCGCGACAGCGUGGGGAGCAAACAGG